rnacentral:rRNA from 1 species
CGGCGGGCGGGGUCUAUACAUGCAGUCGAACGAACUCUGGUAUUGAUUGGUGCUUGCAUCAUGAUUUACAUUUGAGUGAGUGGCGAACUGGUGAGUAACACGUGGGAAACCUGCCCAGAAGCGGGGGAUAACACCUGGAAACAGAUGCUAAUACCGCAUAACAACUUGGACCGCAUGGUCCAAGUUUGAAAGAUGGCUUCGGCUAUCACUUUUGGAUGGUCCCGCGGCGUAUUAGCUAGAUGGUGGGGUAACGGCUCACCAUGGCAAUGAUACGUAGCCGACCUGAGAGGGUAAUCGGCCACAUUGGGACUGAGACACGGCCCAAACUCCUACGGGAGGCAGCAGUAGGGAAUCUUCCACAAUGGACGAAAGUCUGAUGGAGCAACGCCGCGUGAGUGAAGAAGGGUUUCGGCUCGUAAAACUCUGUUGUUAAAGAAGAACAUAUCUGAGAGUAACUGCUCAGGUAUUGACGGUAUUUAACCAGAAAGCCACGGCUAACUACGUGCCAGCAGCCGCGGUAAUACGUAGGUGGCAAGCGUUGUCCGGAUUUAUUGGGCGUAAAGCGAGCGCAGGCGGUUUUUUAAGUCUGAUGUGAAAGCGUUCGGCUCAACCGAAGAAGUGCAUCGGAAACUGGGAAACUUGAGUGCAGAAGAGGACAGUGGAACUCCAUGUGUAGCGGUGAAAUGCGUAGAUAUAUGGAAGAACACCAGUGGCGAAGGCGGCUGUCUGGUCUGUAACUGACGCUGAGGCUCGAAAGUAUGGGUAGCAAACAGGAUUAGAUACCCUGGUAGUCCAUACCGUAAACGAUGAAUGCUAAGUGUUGGAGGGUUUCCGCCCUUCAGUGCUGCAGCUAACGCAUUAAGCAUUCCGCCUGGGGAGUACGGCCGCAAGGCUGAAACUCAAAGGAAUUGACGGGGGCCCGCACAAGCGGUGGAGCAUGUGGUUUAAUUCAAAGCUACGCGAAGAACCUUACCAGUCUUGACAUACUAUGCAAAUCUAGAGAUUAGACGUUCCCUUCGGGACAUGGAUACUGUGGUGCAU